rnacentral:siRNA from 1 species
AGGCUCUGUUUGGUGCGUCUUUUU